rnacentral:ncRNA from 2 species
CUCGUACUUUAGGGGUGUUUGCAUAGCAAGCUGAGAUUUUACCCUUUGAACCUGAUCUAGUUCAUACUAGCGUAGGGAAAAGUAAAUGACUUCUU